UCCGCGCUGGUGUACCGGUAACAUUUCCGCCUCUCAAAUCGUAGGUUUAAAGACCGCGGGAGCACGGGGUUCGACUCCCCGGCGCGGAA